CUACGAGCAGGGAAGGAAAAUCUGUCCGCGCCAUUCAUUUACAAAGCUUCAAUAUGUUCUUUGCUGGAAGACACUCAGAACGUGAUGCUUUGGCUUUAUGUGGAAAUAUACGAUCUUACUGGCCAUUUUAUAUCAGAAACAGAGUCAAUGUGUCCGUCUGCCAGGAUGAAGGUGUAGCAGCCGAGAUGGGGUUCGGUUUCGACCGCUACGUCGCAUUCCGGGCACAGUCUGGCACGGGUUAUAUUUGGAGCGGCUGUUUGGGGAUCUCAGACUGCUAUCACUGACGCACACACAGGAGCAGCAGCUGCUUUCUAAAAACGAACCCAGAUCUCGCUCUACCGUUGCUCUUUUGUUAAACGACCCUGAGCCUAUAUUACACUAUAGCAACAGAAUCAUUCCUCUUAGAAAUAGCGUGAAAAUCAAGCUUUCAUAAGGUUUGAGUUUGUUUUUGUCAACACAAACAUGUUUGAACUCCAGGAAAUUACUGUCAAUACCAGAAUAAACACUUGACAACA